rnacentral:rRNA from 1 species
CGAAGGUGGCUAGCGUUGUUCGGAAUCACUGGGCGUAAAGCGCGCGUAGGCGGCAAUACAAGUCAGAGGUGAAAUGCCGGGGCUUAACCCCGGAACUGCCUUUGAAACUGUAUUGCUCGAGUCUCGGAGGGGAUAGCGGAAUUCCUAAUGUAGAGGUGAAAUUCGUAGAUAUUAGGAGGAACACCUGUGGCGAAGGCGGCUAUCUGGACGAGUACUGACGCUGAGGCGCGAAAGCGUGGGGAUCAAACAGGAUUAGAUACCCUGGUAGUCCACGCUGUAAACGAUGGGUGCUAGCCGUCGGGGACAUAGUCCUCGGUGGCGUAGUUAACGCGUUAAGCACCCCGCCUGGGGAGUACGGUCGCAAGAUUA